rnacentral:tRNA from 1 species
UGGCUGAGCGGUAAAGCGCUUGGCUUCUGAACCAGGAGCCCCGGGUUCGAACCCUGG